GUUAACGACAGACAAGUAGAGCAGGUGGAACGUAACUGUACGAGUUGUGUUUUUAUUCUAUCAGCAGUGUGCCCCCUGAAAACAACUGGCGCGUUAAGCUUGGACAGAUAGCAGACAGAGGGAUGGCGUUUAGAGAGGAGGAGAAUACCGCAGAGGGCACCAUGAUGAAGACGGAGGGCCUCUCGCAUUGACAGCGACUGGGACACAAAGCCCCAUGCGGAACCAUCAGAACCUCUGAAGGGGAUACAGGUCCAAAAAGCCCUAGGUUUUAAGGGGUAGGGGCCACUAAGAAAUGGGACACCACUUGAUUGUCAUUAUGUCAUCACCCUUCACCGCUUGCUGGCUGUGGCAUAGGAGAUGAGGCCUACUAAACAAUGGCAUCAUCAUCAUCAUCAUCAUCAGACCGGAAGGAUGGUGAAUGACAGGCAAGUUCUUUGUGUGUUUACGUUAGUGUGUUACAAUGUGCGACUGUUUUAUGAAUGAGCUCCCAGAUGAGGACAACAAAGCAGGAAGUGUCUCGCAGUCAGGCUUCAUUAACCUCACAGCGACUACGACAAAACGCCUGCUUAUGAUUGUGAAUGAAAUCAAACAAAAACAAAUCUUUAUUUAGAGCCACGUGUAAUCAGGAAAUAUUGUUUGCAAAGAGCACUUUGAGAACCAGAAUAAGAUUUCAGGGGUCGGGGGUGCGGGGUGGCGGGAGGCUUUUCUGAUGUUCUCCUGCUUUCCUCGCAAUCAUAGAGCCUGGUUAUCUUCAACAAGCAAUUAUUUGAUUAGGGGAAGGAUCAUUUAGGCCACUUCAGGAGGACAUGAGGAUCCCAGAGACCUGGCAAAUGGAAGGGGGCUAAGCCAAAGUAUUAAGGCUUAUAAUCUCCACUUUGGUCACACAACAAAUACCGUGUACUACUUCUUUUAGAUGUGAGGUACUUCUGAGUUUAAAAGCAUAAAGAUUCUGUAAAUUAAAAAAAAAAAAGCUUCCUGUUCUCAUUCUAUAUUAGCCUCUUGGUGAAAAAACGUUCAAACAUGAUUCUUUAGACUAGACCUUUUCAGCCAAGACACAAAUUAGAAAUUUGACUAGAUGCCUCAGUCAAAUAAAUGUCUGCUACUCUCUGCAAAUAAGUAAAAAAUUGCCACACAUGAAAUAUUUGCAUAAAUGCGUAUGUUAUUCGAACAAGAGCACUGAUAAAGGUUCAAGGUUCACAAGUUCAAGACUUGUGUCGUGUAGAUGGCAGGACUGUCAUCCCUCGCCAGUUCACACUUUGAAUUCACUCUAUCACGUUUUUUUCAAAAUAUAUCAAUAAGUCAUCGCUGUUUUGUGGUUGACUAUGCCUAAAUGUAGCAUUCUCAAGCAUAAAAAUGGCUAAAUGAAUUAAAAUGGAUAUAUAAGGCAUUGACAAAACGUAUUGAAAUUCAUGUUGUGAUAUGUGGUGUCCUACAUUGGUCACUAGGUGUCAAUAAUGUUACAUGAAAGAAACAACCGCAGGAAGAACAACUCACAGUGAAAAGUGGUAGCAAAAAUCACAUGGUAAACGGUGGCAAAACCUGGCUAAAUGAAACAGCAAUGCAACGGGAUACACGGACUGCUGAGGAAGUCUGGUUGGCACGGCUAAGGUUAACUAAUGAACCGACAAACAUGUGCAGUCCUCUGUGCUUAAAAGUAUCACCAAUCACAGAUGAGCCACAGGUGCGGUGGGCUGCAAAAUCAAACCAAAGUAAAGGUGCAGCAUAUGCUGUUGAGCAAGAAAAAGCAUCUGCAAAAUAAACAAAAAACAGCAAAAAUAAAAGGUAGAAAGCAGAAAAUAACUACGGCCCACAGAAUACCCAACCAAAAGUCCAAUCUCUGUGUGCAACAGGACCUUACAGUAUAUUUACAACUUCUGCUUUUAGACCUCAUAAUAUUUUUUCCUAUUAAUCAAAAUUUUCCACACACUUUGGCUUUUAUCACACAGUUUCAA